UAGGGAAUCUUCCGCAAUGGGCGAAAGCUUGACGGAGCAACGCCGCGCGAGUGAUGAAGGUCUUCGGAUCGUAAAACUCUGUUAUUAGGGAAGAACAAAUGUGUAAGUAACUAUGCACGUCUUGACGGUACCUAAUCAGAAAGCCACGGCUAACUACGUGCCAGCAGCCGCGGUAAUACGUAGGUGGCAAGCGUUAUCCGGAAUUAUUGGGCGUAAAGCGCGCGUAGGCGGUUUUUUAAGUCUGAUGUGAAAGCCCACGGCUCAACCGUGGAGGGUCAUUGGAAACUGGAAAACUUGAGUGCAGAAGAGGAAAGUGGAAUUCCAUGUGUAGCGGUGAAAUGCGCAGAGAUAUGGAGGAACACCAGUGGCGGAGGCGACUUUCUGGUCUGUAACUGACGCUGAUGUGCGAAAGCGUGGGGAUCAAACAGG
rnacentral:rRNA from 1 species